UUUUUUUUUUCCAGGUACCUCCAGCCCCGCAAACUGCACCAUUAACCCAAUGUCUAACAUAACUAGUAUUAAGCAGAUGUCAGCAAGAUGUUGUAACGGUUCCUCUGGAGUUUGCGCUAGUCAGUACAACGGCCUUUGUAAGUUCAUCCAGCUUACAGGAUCGUGUGAUUAUACCAUGGACGUUUGCAACUCUACUUCAGCGAACUGCACUUGUUGCGGUUCGUGCCAGGAAAUCAGCAGCAACAGCACAUGUAAACAGAAAGGAGGCCGUUGCUCCACACAAUGCCGUC